AACCUUAUGGACCUGCGGGCGUAUACCUGCGGAAGGAUCAUUACAGAGUUGCAAGACUCCCUAAACCAUUGUGAACCUACCUUCUACCGUUGCUUCGGCGGGCGGGCCCAGCGCCCCCCCGGCCCCCCGCGGGCGCCCGCCGGAGGAUACCCAAACUCUUGACAUUAGUGGCCUCUCUGAGUAUUCUUUACUGAAUAAGUCAAAACUUUUAACAACGGAUCUCAGAUCGGAAGAGCACAC
rnacentral:misc_RNA from 1 species